rnacentral:misc_RNA from 1 species
AACGCACAUUGCGCCCCGUGGUAUUCCGCGGGGCAUGCCUGUUCGAGCGUCAUAUAAACCCAUCAAGCCUCGGCUUGGUCUUGGGGCCUGCGGUUACGCAGCCUCUAAACCCAGUGGCGGUGCUAUUAAGCUCUGAGCGUAGUAAAUCUCCUCGCUAUAGAGUCUCGGUAGUUGCUUGCCAGUAACCCCCCAUUUUUUCAGGUUGACCUCGGAUCAGGUAGGGAUACCCGCUGAACUUAA